rnacentral:rRNA from 1 species
UUAAAUUGAAGAGUUUGAUCAUGGCUCAGAUUGAACGCUGGCGGCAGGCCUAACACAUGCAAGUCGAACGGUAACAGGAAGCAGCUUGCUGCUUCGCUGACGAGUGGCGGACGGGUGAGUAAUGUCUGGGAAACUGCCUGAUGGAGGGGGAUAACUACUGGAAACGGUAGCUAAUACCGCAUAACGUCGCAAGACCAAAGAGGGGGACCUUCGGGCCUCUUGCCAUCGGAUGUGCCCAGAUGGGAUUAGCUAGUAGGUGGGGUAACGGCUCACCUAGGCGACGAUCCCUAGCUGGUCUGAGAGGAUGACCAGCCACACUGGAACUGAGACACGGUCCAGACUCCUACGGGAGGCAGCAGUGGGGAAUAUUGCACA